CCAGCUCCUUGAAAAAUCUGCCACUUGGACCUGAUACACAUUACAUCGAGCUGAUGUCUUAUUAAAAGAUUGGGAAGAAAAAGCUAUUUUAUUCUAAGCUUUCAGUUUUGAAGCACCUCUCUAUGCGAUUCGGUGGCAGCUUUUACGAUUGCAUUGCACUUUCUGUUAGAAUUGUGCUUGUUCAUGCGGAAUGCAGCAACGAGCAAAAUCAUCAUUUGCCCCGGGGUCAAUGAAAUAAAACGCAAUUGCUGUACCCUCCACCAGCACCAGCGCCAGCUCCAAUUGCAAAGGUAAGCGGAUUUAUAAGCGCUGUCGGCAGACACAGAGAGUGACACAAAGAGAGCGAGAUUGACAGAGAGAGCAGUAACAGCACCGAUCGGAGCGUAAGAAACAGCGUCGAGUGCUGAACGAGAGAGGCUGAUUGACGAUUGCCAACAAACAUACACAUACACACACACGCACACAUAAGAAGGCAAACAAACCGGCGAUGCGAAGCAAAGCAAAGCAAAGGCAGUGAAGGCAGCAGACAUUCGAAGCGGUUAGCCGUUCAGUGUGACAGUGAACGUCGUACGGUCGUUGUGUUAUGGCAGCAGACGCAACAGAAGCAAAAAACCAAAACAGAAACAACGGCAACAAGCAACCGUAAUAGUUGUGCGAAAAAAAAGGCUAGCAAACAGCGUAUAAACUGUGUGACAAUAGCAACAACAGCAGCUACAGCAGCAAUAGCAGCAGCAUCAACAGCAAAGAGCAACUGCAACUACCACUACAAGUGCAAGCAGAGCAACAAGUUGUCCACCACCUGAGAUCUAUAUUCAACACAAAAACAAAAACAAAAUA